AUUGAACGCUGGCGGCAGGCCUAACACAUGCAAGUCGAGCGGUAGCACAGAGAGCUUGCUCUCGGGUGACGAGCGGCGGACGGGUGAGUAAUGUCUGGGAAACUGCCUGAUGGAGGGGGAUAACUACUGGAAACGGUAGCUAAUACCGCAUAAUGUCGCAAGACCAAAGUGGGGGACCUUCGGGCCUCAUGCCAUCAGAUGUGCCCAGAUGGGAUUAGCUAGUAGGUGGGGUAAUGGCUCACCUAGGCGACGAUCCCUAGCUGGUCUGAGAGGAUGACCAGCCACACUGGAACUGAGACACGGUCCAGACUCCUACGGGAGGCAGCAGUGGGGAAUAUUGCACAAUGGGCGCAAGCCUAAUGCAGCCAUGCCGCGUGUGUGAAGAAGGCCUUCGGGUUGUAAAGCACUUUCAGCGGGGAGGAAGGCGUUAAGGUUAAUAACCUUGGCGAUUGACGUUACCCGCAGAAGAAGCACCGGCUAACUCCGUGCCAGCAGCCGCGGUAAUACGGAGGGUGCAAGCGUUAAUCGGAAUUACUGGGCGUAAAGCGCACGCAGGCGGUCUGUCAAGUCGGAUGUGAAAUCCCCGGGCUCAACCUGGGAACUGCAUUCGAAACUGGCAGGCUAGAGUCUUGUAGAGGGGGGUAGAAUUCCAGGUGUAGCGGUGAAAUGCGUAGAGAUCUGGAGGAAUACCGGUGGCGAAGGCGGCCCCCUGGACAAAGACUGACGCUCAGGUGCGAAAGCGUGGGGAGCAAACAGGAUUAGAUACCCUGGUAGUCCACGCCGUAAACGAUGUCGAUUUGGAGGUUGUGCCCUUGAGGCGUGGCUUCCGGAGCUAACGCGUUAAAUCGACCGCCUGGGGAGUACGGCCGCAAGGUUAAAACUCAAAUGAAUUGACGGGGGCCCGCACAAGCGGUGGAGCAUGUGGUUUAAUUCGAUGCAACGCGAAGAACCUUACCUGGUCUUGACAUCCACAGAACUUAGCAGAGAUGCUUUGGUGCCUUCGGGAACUGUGAGACAGGUGCUGCAUGGCUGUCGUCAGCUCGUGUUGUGAAAUGUUGGGUUAAGUCCCGCAACGAGCGCAACCCUUAUCCUUUGUUGCCAGCGGUUAGGCCGGGAACUCAAAGGAGACUGCCAGUGAUAAACUGGAGGAAGGUGGGGAUGACGUCAAGUCAUCAUGGCCCUUACGACCAGGGCUACACACGUGCUACAAUGGCAUAUACAAAGAGAAGCGACCUCGCGAGAGCAAGCGGACCUCAUAAAGUAUGUCGUAGUCCGGAUUGGAGUCUGCAACUCGACUCCAUGAAGUCGGAAUCGCUAGUAAUCGUAGAUCAGAAUGCUACGGUGAAUACGUUCCCGGGCCUUGUACACACCGCCCGUCACACCAUGGGAGUGGGUUGCAAAAGAAGUAGGUAGCUUAACCUUCGGGAGGGCGCUUACCACUUUGUGAUUCAUGACUGGGGUGA
rnacentral:rRNA from 1 species